rnacentral:rRNA from 1 species
CGGUAACAGGUCUUCGGAUGCUGACGAGUGGCGAACGGGUGAGUAAUACAUCGGAACGUGCCCGAUCGUGGGGGAUAACGGAGCGAAAGCUUUGCUAAUACCGCAUACGAUCUACGGAUGAAAGCGGGGGAUCUUCGGACCUCGCGCGGACGGAGCGGCCGAUGGCAGAUUAGGUAGUUGGUGGGAUAAAAGCUUACCAAGCCGACGAUCUGUAGCUGGUCUGAGAGGAUGAUCAGCCACACUGGGACUGAGACACGGCCCAGACUCCUACGGGAGGCAGCAGUGGGGAAUUUUGGACAAUGGGCGCAAGCCUGAUCCAGCCAUGCCGCGUGCAGGAUGAAGGCCUUCGGGUUGUAAACUGCUUUUGUACGGAACGAAAAGGUGCCUUCUAAUAAAGGGCGCUCAUGACGGUACCGUAAGAAUAAGCACCGGCUAACUACGUGCCAGCAGCCGCGGUAAUACGUAGGGUGCGAGCGUUAAUCGGAAUUACUGGGCGUAAAGCGUGCGCAGGCGGUUUUGUAAGACAGAGGUGAAAUCCCCGGGCUCAACCUGGGAACUGCCUUUGUGACUGCAAGGCUGGAGUGCGGCAGAGGGGGAUGGAAUUCCGCGUGUAGCAGUGAAAUGCGUAGAUAUGCGGAGGAACACCGAUGGCGAAGGCAAUCCCCUGGGCCUGCACUGACGCUCAUGCACGAAAGCGUGGGGAGCAAACAGGAUUAGAUA